AUGGCUGCCGCACAAAGUGUAUCGGCUCUGGCCGCUCGCUGUGUACUGCCGCGCGGCCGGGAGGCUGGUGAUCAUCUGCCGGGUGAGCGGGUUGAGGAGGCGGAUCAUGUAGGUGCGCUUGUCGCACAGCACGAUGAGGCCGCCAUCGGAGGUGGCCCCGAAAACAUACUGGUAGCGGAGCUCGGGGAGGUCCACCUUGAUGCGCUCGCCUGUCGAGACGUUGAGGAAGUCGUGGGGCUUCCGGACGGCGCCCAAGGCCCGCGGGAGCAUGAUCCACCGCCGGGGGUGGAACCGACGGUCCAGGCUGCCGUAUGCUUGCAGGGACGCGGUGCAUCGCCGCCAUGUGCGGCACACCGCACGGAAGCGGAGGUAGUCCGCGACGUCGUCCGUGAGCACACGCUCCGCGAUCAUGCCUGCCGGCCCGGCGAUCAGGUCCGCCCAAUCCCUCCUGCAAGCCGCGUAUACAGGAACAGGAACAGGAACUCUACCUAG
rnacentral:rRNA from 1 species